CGAGUACUUGUCCUUCUUGAGCAAAGUCUUGGUCUUUCUCCGGGGCCGGUAUUUAUAAUCCGGGUGCUCCUUCAUGUGCAGCGCCCGCAGCCGCUUGGCCUCGUCGAUGAAGGGUCGCUUCUCCGCCUCGGACAUGACUUUCCACUCGGCGCCCAGGCGCUUGGAGAUCUCCGAGUUGUGCAUCUUGGGGUUCUCCUGAGCCAUCUUCCGCCGCUGGCCCCGUGACCACACCAUGAAGGCGUUCAUGGGCCGCUUGACCCGGUCUUGGUUGGCCUUGGGGCCCCCGCCGCCGCCGCCGCCUCCAGCUCCGGUUUGGCCCGAGAGGUUGGUGGCGACCUGGGCUCCACCGGGGGAGUGCAUGUCCGUCUCCAUCAUCAUGCUAUACAUUCGCGCAGCUUUCCGGGGGCCACCAGGCGACACAGCGUCAAAACAUAGAGCGGGCGAAGAAGAAGCGCGUGUGGCGGCGGCGGCGAGACCGGGAGAGAAGCGGCAAGGGACCAACAAGGCGGACGGCGACUCUGGGCGGGAAACAGGAGCUGCUGCGCCGAGGCGAAGAAAAUUAUGUAAGAGUUCACCACGACGAUCAAAGGAAUCAGGAAAGGAGGAGCAGCAGCCGGGAGAGGCAUCCAGCAAAGAGCCCCGCAGCCAUACACGGCGCACCGAAGCGGGAUUAAAUGACUUUGCCUUGGCCAAUCGGAGCGCGUCGGCGGGGGAUUAUUUGCAUGGCGCACUCGGGAGUGACGUCCGGAGGUGAGAA
rnacentral:lncRNA from 1 species